rnacentral:rRNA from 1 species
AACGUAGGUGGCAAACGUUAUCCGGAUUCACUGGGCGUAAAGAGUGCGUAGGCGGCUCCACAAGUCGGAUGUAAAAUCUCCUGGCUCAACUGGGAGGGACCAUCCGAUACUGCGGGGCUAGAGUGCAGCAGAGGAGAGUGGAAUUCCCGGUGUAGUGGUGGAAUGCGUAGAUAUCGGGAGGAACACCAGUGGCGAAAGCGGCUCUCUGGGCUGUAACUGACGCUGUUGCACGAAAGCGUGGGGAG